rnacentral:rRNA from 1 species
UACGAAGGGGGCUAGCGUUGCUCGGAAUCACUGGGCGUAAAGGGUGCGUAGGCGGGUUCUUAAGUCAGGGGUGAAAUCCUGGAGCUCAACUCCAGAACUGCCUUUGAUACUGGCGAUCUCGAGUCCGGGAGAGGUGAGUGGAACUGCGAGUGUAGAGGUGAAAUUCGUAGAUAUUCGCAAGAACACCAGUGGCGAAGGCGGCUCACUGGCCCGGUACUGACGCUGAGGUGCGAAAGCGUGGGGGAGCAAACAGG